rnacentral:lncRNA from 1 species
GUUGAUUUAAACAGCUGGUUUUCCCUGUGUCUGAGCAUGAAGCGCAUCAAGCCACGAGCAGCUCUGCUUCCAUAUGGGUCCUUGUAGAAACCCUUGAUCCCCUGGCUCACUAGGGGUUAUGCCACAUCUGGGCUGGUGAGUCUAGGUACUAUAGGAAAGCAGGCAGAGCAAGCCUGUAAGUAGCAUUCUUCCAUAGCCUCUAUACCAGGUUCCUGCCCUGUUUGAGUUCCUGUCCUGACUUCCCAUCGUGAUGAACUGUGAUGUGGAGGGCAGGUGGCAGAGACGAUGCUCCUAUCAGCUUCUUGUUGUUCCUGACAGAGGAGUAUGAAGCAAUGAGAGGCCUCGGGCUCUCGGCUGCUGCAAGAUGGCAGGAGGAGGCUUGCUUGCAAUGACAGACGGGAGAUGGGGAAAGCUCUUCCUGUAUUUCCUAGGAUGGUCUGCCCCCAUGGGACCACAAGUCAGAACAGUGCAUUUCUCCCCUAAGUUGCUUCGUGUCAAAUAUUUGGUUACAACAGGAAGAAAAAUAAUAACAUAUGCCAAUGUCCUACCUUAUCCAGACCCAAAGCAAUGGGACAUCCGAUCAUAAGCUGGAACCCCAAAGUGGUCAAGAUCUUGCUGUCCUGAAUCAGUUCUGGCUGAUCCCGACUUCACUAUUCUCAGUCCUCCCUGUGUUGGGACUAUAGGUGUAUGCCAACAUCUAUUGCAAGAUUGAUAUCUAUCUAUCUAUCUAUCUAUCUAUCUAUCUAUCUACCUAUCUAUUUCUAUUUUUAAUUAAAGAGCUGACUAUGUGUCAUGCAAUAGCCCAGGAGCUUCGCCUAUAUCAACACAUUCAACGCUGUUGGUGGAAACCAGGCUGUGUCUGGCUCUGAGUUCAGGCAGUCUGUGUCGUUCAGAUAGUGCUCCUUGGGCUUUGCUUGCCAUGAGUGACUCUAGCCUACAGAACAGUAGUUCACUCCACUUUGAGAGCAAAGGCUGAGGAAGAUGACUCCAUUGUUUGUUUAUGCAAAUGAGCAGCCAACCACUGUCCAGCACUGAGCCACAGCUUACUCAGUCACAUGGGUAGAGUUCUAAUGCACUAAUACCUAUGAAGGUCAGUUAAACCAGUGGACCAUGGGAACAUUGCCUAUCAAAACCACAUCACAACCUCCCAGGCUUCUACAACUUUCAAAGACACCAGACCAACCAUUGAUGUAACCUCUUGGCCUGUAUCAUAUAAAAAUGUGGCACCUCAUACUGACAUCCAAAGGCUUGUUUUCAGAGCAUCCUGUGCACCCAUCAUGGGAUUGGCAAGGGCUCUACAGGUGAUGAAAUUCGGACUUUACACCCGGGAUUUCUGCACAGCAUGAUACCCUCCCUGAGGUAACCCACUUUCUGGACCCAGCUCUUUAUCUUGAACCAUCUCUGCAAGCAUCAAAGAUCAGCCCUUGAUGUCUAUUGCUGUCUUAUCUAAGUACUUAUAGCAAUGCCUGCUUCUGCCUCUCCCAGGUCCCUUCAAGUCCAGUGGUUUCUUCAAUCUGUUCUUACCCGUGCUGUAGCCUGUGUAUGAUGAGACAUGCCAUGUUUAACGUGUGUUAUAUUAGUAUCUAGGUUUGAAAUGAAGAACCUGUGUUUGCCAAAGACCGUACUGCCAAGAGAGACCAGACAGUGAAUUAAAAGCAAUGGUAUAGACUUAGCUUGUCAAUUCAGUGUAAUUUAAUAACCUUGACAUUAUGGAAAGGCGCAAAUGUGCCACUUAUAUUUCUGACAUAGUAUGCUCAUAGCAAGUAUGAGCUCAACUCCACUUUGCAGAUGAGAAAGGAGAGGUUUGGGAGAUCGUUCAGUAACUUCAGCUAUUAAAUGGUAAAGGCAGCAUUUGGAUCCAGGGUACAUAGUACGGGAAGAGUAGUAUAUUCCACCCAUCUGCCUUUUGUGGGAUGGAUAGGACCUCCCAUAUGCUAGGCAAGUACUUUCCCACUAUGCUUCAAUCUAGUCCCCAGUUUUUAAAUGAAACACCAAAAAGUAUAGCCAGUUCCCAGUGCUUCCACUAGCCAUGGCUAUCAGAGACUGGAUUAGGGAGUAAAUGGAGCCAUAAUGCGGAAAGCUGCCUGGCCUCUUCCCCCUUCUAUCUCUAGUCCUGAAUCCUAUUGCUGAGACAGAUACUGUCUAAUUAAGUGUUAGGCAGUGAGUGACUUGGGGACCUUUCAGGGCAUUAAGAGGGACUUCCUCCCUGAGAAGCUGUCAAGGUUAAUAUGGAGAGACUUCCUAUGGCUGAAACAAAUACAUGGGGGGUGGGGUGGGGAAGGUGCUCACCAGAGCAGAUCCUAACACAAUGGAAAUGCACACUAAAAUAGGAUUGUGCGUAAAGGUUUCGGGACUGAAUGUAAAUCACCCUUAAGAACUCAGGUGAUCUUCGUUCUUGAGUUUCAUGUGUUUUGCAAAUUGUAUCUUGUAUGUUGGGUAUUCUAAGUUUCUGGGCUAAUAUCCACUUAUCAGUGAGUACAUGUCAUGUGAGUUCUUUUGUGAUUGGGGGGGAAGGUAUGGGGGACUUUUGGGGUAGUAUUGGAAAUGUAAAUGAAGAAAAUACCUAAUUAAAAUAAAAUAAAAAGUAAAUAAAAAAAUAAAAGGAA